UGGGGAAUAUUGGACAAUGGGCGAAAGCCUGAUCCAGCCAUGCCGCGUGUGUGAAGAAGGUCUUCGGAUUGUAAAGCACUUUAAGUUGGGAGGAAGGGCAGUAAAUUAAUACUUUGCUGUUUUGACGUUACCGACAGAAUAAGCACCGGCUAACUCUGUGCCAGCAGCCGCGGUAAUACAGAGGGUGCAAGCGUUAAUCGGAAUUACUGGGCGUAAAGCGCGCGUAGGUGGUUUGUUAAGUUGGAUGUGAAAUCCCCGGGCUCAACCUGGGAACUGCAUCCAAAACUGGCAAGCUAGAGUAUGGUAGAGGGUGGUGGAAUUUCCUGUGUAGCGGUGAAAUGCGUAGAUAUAGGAAGGAACACCAGUGGCGAAGGCGACCACCUGGACUGAUACUGACACUGAGGUGCGAAAGCGUGGGGAGCAAACAGGAUUAGAUACCCGUGUAGUCCCUGAGCGGGCUGGCAAGGCGCAU
rnacentral:rRNA from 1 species